rnacentral:sRNA from 1 species
UGACUCUACACCGACCGAUGAUGAUGAAC